rnacentral:rRNA from 1 species
GACGAACGCUGGCGGCGUGCCUAAUACAUGCAAGUUGAGCGCUGAAGGUUGGUACUUGUACCAACUGGAUGAGCAGCGAACGGGUGAGUAACGCGUGGGGAAUCUGCCUUUGAGCGGGGGACAACAUUUGGAAACGAAUGCUAAUACCGCAUAAAAACUUUAAACACAAGUUUUAAGUUUGAAAGAUGCAAUUGCAUCACUCAAAGAUGAUCCCGCGUUGUAUUAGCUAGUUGGUGAGGUAAAGGCUCACCAAGGCGAUGAUACAUAGCCGACCUGAGAGGGGGGUCGGCCAAAUUGGGAAUGAGACAAGGCCCAAACCCCUACGGGAGGCAGCAGUAGGGAAUCUUCGGCAAUGGACGAAAGUCUGACCGAGCAACGCCGGGUGAGGGAAGAAGGUUUUCGGAUCGUAAAACUCUGUUGGUAGAGAAGAACGUUGGUGGGAGUGGAAAGCUCAUCAAGUGACGGUAACUACCCAGAAAGGGACGGCUAACUACGUG